UACAGAGGGGGCAAGCGUUGCUCGGAAUCACUGGGCGUAAAGCGACCGCAGGCGGCCUGACAAGUCGGAUGUGAAAGCCCUGGGCUCAACUCAGGAAUUGCAUUCGAAACUGGUAGGCUCGAGUACGGGAGAGGGGGGUGGAACUCCUGGUGUAGGGGUGAAAUUCGUUGAUAUCAGGAGGAACACCGGCGGCGAAGGCGGCCCCCUGGCCCGCAACUGACGCUCAUGGUCGAAAGCGUGGGGAGCAAACAGG
rnacentral:rRNA from 1 species